UGCCUUCCCGCCGCCGCUCAGCGUUUCCAUGGAGACCUUCUCUUAAUGAACCAACGGACAGGGCCCCUCGGCGGGAACAAUACCCGGCCGAGCAGCGAGCAGCGGCGUAAAGAGCGGGAGCAGAGCGGACCGGGAGGCGGCAGCAAGGAGUGCGGCCGCCAGAUGGAGAAAUCAGUUAUUCUGUUGCUCUGCUUACAAUAUGUUGUUAAGAUCUCAAAAAGUUUCUGUUAUGUGCCAAGGAAUAAUCGAACAACAGCAGUUCUUAUUAAAUGGGAUGAAUUUCCUAAGGGAGGAAGUCCUGAAUUUUAUUUUUUAAAAUACCAACUUGUUAAUAAUUUUGCUGGAAAAAAUAUCAAAAGUAUUCUUGCAAACCCACAAGACCUUUCAAAAUCAAUAACACUAGAGGAAAAUGAAGACUAUCACAUCAUUCUACAGUCCAUAAAAUAUGGACAAAUUUUAAGUGAAAAGUCAUUUGAAACCCGUGGUUUCUCAACUAACAAUAUUAAAACAGUAGCAACAAGCACAAGUGUUUCUUUUAACUGGAGUGUGCUGUCUUCCAAUGACAUUUCAGUGUCAAUAUCUCUCAAUAAUUCUUCACAAAUUAUGCAAAAUAAUGUUACAGUUUAUGAGUGGGAUAAUUUAAAACCUGGAACCUUAUAUGCUUUUGAAUUUGAAUUUAAACAGUUGUAUUUGGAUUUUAUAAAUAUAUUUCAGAGACUGGAUGUUCUAGUAGAAACAGGUAU
rnacentral:lncRNA from 1 species